CUACGUAGGUGGCAAGCGUUGUCCGGAAUUAUUGGGCGUAAAGCGCAUGUAGGCGGUUUGGUAAGUCGGUCGUGAAAAUGCGGUGCUUAACGCCGUAUGGCGAUUGAAACUGCUGAACUUGAGUGCAGGAGAGGAAAGGGGAACUCCCAGUGUAGCGGUGAAAUGCGGAGAUAUUGGGAAGAACACCGGUGGCGAAGGCGCCUUUCUGGACUGUGUCGGACGCUCAGAUGCGAAAGCCAGGGUAGCGAACGGGAUUAGAUCCCCCGGUAGUCCUGGCCGUAAACGAGGGGUACUAGGUGUGGGAGGUAUCGACUCCUUCCGUGCCGGAGUUAACGCAAUAAGUACCCCGCCUGGGGAGUACGGCCGCAAGGCUUAAACUCAAAUGAAUUGACGGGG
rnacentral:rRNA from 1 species